UCACUUACUUGGCGCAGAGGUAACCGUGAUCACGAAGACGGUUCCUCUAGCUAGAGGCUUCACCAUUGCACUACAGGUUUUGCUGAUAGCUAUGGCUACUCCAAAUGUGGGUACGCCAAGCGCAAAAUUUAUGGGUUUAGCGGACCGCGUACGCGCGGUCCCAAU